rnacentral:rRNA from 1 species
GACGAACGCUGGCGGCGUGCUUAACACAUGCAAGUCGAGCGGAAAGGCCCUUUCGGUGGUACUCGAGCGGCGAACGGGUGAGUAACACGUGAGUAAUCUGCCCUUGGCUUUGGGAUAACCACCGGAAACGGUGGCUAAUACCGGAUAUGACGCGCCCCGGCAUCGGGGUGUGUGGAAAGUUUUUUCGGCCAGGGAUGUGCUCGCGGCCUAUCAGCUUGUUGGUGGGGUAAUGGCCUACCAAGGCUUCGACGGGUAGCCGGCCUGAGAGGGUGACCGGCAACACUGGGACUGGGACACGGCCCAGACUCCUACGGGAGGCAGAAGUGGGGAAUAUUGGACAAUGGGCGGAAGCCUGAUCCAGCAACGCCGCGUGAGGGAUGACGGCCUUCGGGUUGUAAACCUCUUUCAGUACCGACGAAGCGCCGAUGAUGGUGGUGACGGUAGGUACAGAAGAAGCACCGGCCAACUACGUGCCAGCCGCCGCGGUAA